UACGUAGGGGGCGAGCGUUGUCCGGAUUUAUUGGGCGUAAAGAGCGUGUAGGCGGCCAGGUAGGUCUGCUGUGAAAACUCGAGGCUCAACCUCGAGACGUCGGCGGAAACCGUAAAGCUAGAGUCCGGAAGAGGAGAGUGGAAUUCCUGGUGUAGCGGUGAAAUGCGCAGAUAUCAGGAAGAACACCCGUGGCGAAGGCGGCUCUCUGGGACGGUACUGACGCUGAGACGCGAAAGCGUGGGGAGCGAACAGG
rnacentral:rRNA from 1 species